rnacentral:lncRNA from 1 species
GUAGCCUCCUUCGAGCCAUGGCGGCCCCAGUGAGGAGACUCAGUGUUUGAGAAGGUUAAGCGAGGACUGCGCCGCAGUGGUUCAUUUUUCUUUUUUUUAAAAUAUCUGAACGUGCCUUCAUAAAGUAGUUCAAACAAUGGCGGACGACAGUGUGUUACCAUCUCCUACUGAGAUAACUAGCUUGGCAGACACUUCAGUUUUUGAUUCUAAAGUUACAGAAACAUCCAAGGAAAACUUGUGCAUGGUGUCUACUUCAAAUGUUGACGAAGAAAUGCCUCAGGUGGAAGCAAGAGUGGUAGUGGUCCAGGAAGCUGGGAAACAAGAGGAGCUCCUAAAGGCCUUAAAGACUGUUAAGAUAAUGGAAGUCCCUGUUAUAAAGAUAAAAGAAAGUUGUCCUGGGAAAUCGGAUGAAAAGUUAAUAAAAAGUAUUAUUAAUAUGGAAAUUAAAGUGCCCUGUGUAAAGAUGGAUUCAAUGGAAGAAUUUGGAAGUUUGGAUUCCCCAGAAUUUGAGAAUAUAUUUGUAGUUACUGACUUCCAGACAUCUGUCUUCAAUGACUUAUACAAGGCUGAUUGUAGGAUUGUUGGACCACCAGUUAUACUCAACUGUGCACAAAUGGGAGAG